GACGUAGGGGAUAAGCGUUGUUCGGAAUUAUUGGGCGUAAAGGGCAUGUAGGCGGUCUUGUAAGUCUGGUGUGAAAUGGUUGGGCUUAACCCAAUCCUGCAUUGGAAACUGUGAGACUAGAAUCACUGAGGGGGAGAUAGAAUUCCAGGUGUAGGGGUGAAAUCUGUAGAUAUCUGGAAGAAUACCAGUGGCGAAGGCGAUCUCCUGGCAGAUGAUUGACGCUGAGGUGCGAAGGUAUGGGGAGCAAACAGG
rnacentral:rRNA from 1 species